rnacentral:rRNA from 1 species
GACGAACGCUGGCGGCGUGCUUAACACAUGCAAGUCGAACGGAAAGGCCCUGCUUUUGUGGGGUGCUCGAGUGGCGAACGGGUGAGUAACACGUGAGUAACCUGCCCUUGACUUUGGGAUAACUUCAGGAAACUGGGGCUAAUACCGGAUAGGAGCUCCUGCUGCAUGGUGGGGGGUGGAAAGUUUCGGCGGUUGGGGAUGGACUCGCGGCUUAUGAGCUUGUUGGUGGGGUAGUGGCUUACCAAGGCUUUGACGGGUAGCCGGCCUGAGAGGGUGACCGGCCACCUUGGGACUGAGGUACGGCCCAGACUGCUACGGGAGGCAGCGGUGGGGAAUCUUGCCCAAUGGGCGGAAGCCUGAUGCAGCAACGCCGCGUGCGGGAUGACGGCCUUCGGGUUGUAAACCGCUUUCGCCUGUGACGAAGCGUGAGUGACGGUAAUGGGUAAAGAAGCACCGGCUAACUACGUG